rnacentral:rRNA from 1 species
GAGGUGGCAAGCGUUGUCCGGGAAUUAUUGGGGCGUAAAGCGCGCGCAGGCGGUUCUUUAAGUCUGAUGUGAAAGCCCACGGGCUCAACCGUGGAGGGUCAUUGGAAACUGGAGAACUUGAGUGCAGAAGAGGAAAGCGGAAUUCCACGUGUAGCGGUGAAAUGCGUAGAGAUGUGGAGGAACACCAGUGGCGAAGGCGGCUUUCUGGUCUGUAACUGACGCUGAGGCGCGAAAGCGUGGGGAGCAAACAGGAUUAGAUACCCUGGUAGUCCACGCCGUAAACGAUGAGUGCUAAGUGUUAGGGGGUUUCCGCCCCUUAGUGCUGCAGCUAACGCAUUAAGCACUCCGCCUGGGGAGUACGGCCGCAAAGGCUGA